rnacentral:rRNA from 1 species
UGGGGAAUUUUGGACAAUGGGGGAAACCCUGAUCCAGCCAUCCCGCGUGUGCGAUGAAGGCCUUCGGGUUGUAAAGCACUUUUGGCAGGAAAGAAACGUCGCGGGUUAAUACCCCGCGAAACUGACGGUACCUGCAGAAUAAGCACCGGCUAACUACGUGCCAGCAGCCGCGGUAAUACGUAGGGUGCAAGCGUUAAUCGGAAUUACUGGGCGUAAAGCGUGCGCAGGCGGUUCGGAAAGAAAGAUGUGAAAUCCCAGAGCUUAACUUUGGAACUGCAUUUUUAACUACCGGGCUAGAGUGUGUCAGAGGGAGGUGGAAUUCCGCGUGUAGCAGUGAAAUGCGUAGAUAUGCGGAGGAACACCGAUGGCGAAGGCAGCCUCCUGGGAUAACACUGACGCUCAUGCACGAAAGCGUGGGGAGCAAACAGGAUUAGAUACCCUGGUAGUCCACGCCCUAAACGAUGUCAACUAGCUGUUGGGGGCCUUCGGGCCUUGGUAGCGCAGCUAACGCGUGAAGUUGACCGCCUGGGGAGUACGGUC